GUGGGGAAUAUUGGACAAUGGGCGAAAGCCUGAUCCAGCCAUGCCGCGUGUGUGAAGAAGGUCUUCGGAUUGUAAAGCACUUUAAGUUGGGAGGAAGGGCAGUAAGUUAAUACCUUGCUGUUUUGACGUUACCGACAGAAUAAGCACCGGCUAACUUCGUGCCAGCAGCCGCGGUAAUACGAAGGGUGCAAGCGUUAAUCGGCAUUACUGGGCGUAAAGCGCGCGUAGGUGGUUUUGUAAGUUGGAGGUGAAAUCCCCGGGCUCAACCUGGGAACUGCCUCAAAAACUGAAUGACUAGAGUACGGUAGAGGGUAGUGGAAUUUCCUGUGUAGCGGUGAAAUGCGUAGAUAUAGGAAGGAACACCAGUGGCGAAGGCGACUACCUGGACUGAUACUGACACUGAGGUGCGAAAGCGUGGGGAGCAAACAGGAUUAGAAACCCCAGUAGUCC
rnacentral:rRNA from 1 species